ACCUCUGACGAGCCCUAUGUCUCCCUUACCAAUUCUUUGACAAUGACCCUGCAGCUCCAGACUAGACUAAAAAGAGAGGGGACACAAGGGAACUUGAAAGAUGGAAGAAAAAGGUGGGUUCAGAGGUAAAAGUGCUAUUUCAAUUUAUAUUUCCAAAUAUGGAGGCUAAUUCUUGCUUUGAGUGGUUAUUCAUACCUUACUUUCUAUCAGCAAUACACAUUAACCAUCUGUUGUGUGCCAAAAGUUGUGUUAAGAGUUAGGGUUAUAAAGAUGCUGUCUCCUGUACUAGCAGUUCUCACAGCUAUUCAUUACUUGUCUAAAGAAUUGAUGGCAGAAUGAGUGCUUCAGAAUGUGAUUUCCUACUAACCUGUUCCUUGGAUAGGUUGGGAGGCUGAGGUGGACGGAUCACAAGACCAGGAGAUCGAGACCAUCCUGGCCAACAUGGUGAAACCCCAUCUCUACUAAAAAUACAAAAAAUUAGCUGGGUGUGGUGGCGCAUGCCUGUAGUCCCAGCUACUCAGGCUGAGGCAGGAGAAUCGCUUGAACCCAGGAGGUGGAGGUUGCAGUGAGUUGAGAUCGUGCUACUGCACUCCAGCCUGGUGACA
rnacentral:lncRNA from 1 species